AUUCGAAACAAUAUUUACUAAAAUACCCGUUAUUCAAUAGAUUUACGUAUAUAUAUUUACGUAUGUGUGUGUUAUUCAAUCGAUUUACGUAUAUAUAUAUAUAUAUAUAUAUGUAUGUGUGUGUAUAUUUAUAUAUUCUUCAUUUCCUAUAAUUAAGUAAUCUUAACCCACUCAUAUAAGUCAUCUCCUACUAUUUGUUUCAUUGAGCUGGUAAUGUGUUGGAAAUAUGUUUUUGACAGAGAAGUAGCUUUUUUCAUUUUAAAGGGUCCAAGAUUCUCAUCUCAUGUUUUGGCAGCCAACCAUAAUCAACUUACCUUAUCCAACAAUCAUCUCUCUAUACAGCACACAAUCUUUUAUUCCCUCUCCUUUAUCUGCAACAUCAACUCAACAGGCAAAGGAAGAAAGGGUAGUGGUGGGGGAGCGUUAUCGUCUACGUGCAAUGAAGCUGCAGAGAGCUCUAAAGCUAUAGCUUCUUCAAGAAUGAGGUUGGAGCUGGAAAGAGGUCUGUCAUUACACUUUGUGGGCUGGUCGGAGAAGGUUGGUGAUGGUGAUGGCAGCGCAGGUGAGAAGAAGGGAAAUAUGGUGAGAAUUAACAUGAGAAAGGAGAGAGAGAUUUUUAGUGGUGAUAGCACGUGGCCUUUUUUAAUUGGUGGAAUGUUUUUUAAAGUCUGUUAAGAAAAUUGACUAACAAAUAGUUGCGCCAAAAAAAAAAUUUAAAUAUUAAAAGUAAAAAAAAUAUAUAAUUUAAGGGUUAAAUAGUAAAUUAAGCUUAAUUUUAUUAUAAUUAUUUUUAAAAUAUUAUUUAAAUGUGUGUUCAAAUAAUUAUAUAAAAAGGGAUAAAAAUAAAGAGUUAAAAACUUGUUGGGUGUGAAUUUGAUCCUUUAUUUCAGCCACAUAGAUGUAAUAGGAUGGAGGUGAAGGUCACGCAAUAGGCUGGAAUUUUAGUUGGUCUAAAAGAUGAACAGCAAACAUCAAGCAUCAUGGACUCCUCCUCCAAGUCCUUAUUCCUAUCUUUCUGACUCUUGAAUACUAUCAUCAUUACCCCCUCACCACCACCACCACCACCACUACCACUUAUCGUCAUCAUGAUCAUCCCCACUUUCUUUUCAACAUCAUCCAAGCUCACAACCCAAGUCUCAAAGCUAAACAACCACAACAGAACUACCACCACCACCAAGAAGAAGAAGAGGAAAAAGAAGAAGAAGAAGUAUAGCAAGCAGUGAUGAGACUACUUUCAGUUUUCACUUAAACAAAGUCUUUUACUACUAUGUGUUAUGAGUGGAAGGGUCUUUUUGUUUCAGAAGAUCCAACAACUCUAUACGGGGAAUCAAGCUUCUCGGCAUGGUGUUUGUUGAUGGUGUUCUUGGCGGUAGGGCUGAUCUCCCAAUGUCGGAUGAUAAAGUUGUGGAGCAGACCAAAGGUGAGAAGGGCAUCAGAUCAAAAGCAGUACUCAAGGAUGCUAUGCAAUAUUUAAGUGAAGAAAGAGUUUUAGAUGGAGAACAUUGUGGCAAUAUCAUUUAUGAAAGAAGGAGAAGAUAAUGGUGAUAUGUUAAUUGUAUGUUGCCCCCCAAUUUCUCUCUCAAAUCUCCCAACAUGUUUCCUUUGUCUUUUCUUAAAUUUUGUUUGUUUGGUGAUCUGAUACAAAAAUAUAAAUACUCAUCAUGACAUAUGCAAACAGGUAUUAUUACCAUGGAACCUUGACCAAAA